CCAAUAGCGUAUAUUAAAGUUGUUGCAGUUAAAAAGCUCGUAGUUGAAUUUCGAGAUCAAUUUGUGGGUCGUGCCUCGGUACGUACUGGCAUUAUUGAUUUCUCCCUUCUGAAGAACCGCGAUGUCAUUCAUUUGGUGUCGUGGGGAAUCAGGACUGUUACUUUGAAAAAAUUAGAGUGUUUAAAGCAAGCUUACGCUUGAAUACAUUAGCAUGGAAUAAUGAAAUAGGACGUUUGAUUCUAUUUUGUUGGUUUCUAGGAUCGACGUAAUGAUUAAUAGGGAUAGUUGGGGGCAUUAGUAUUCAAUUGUCAGAGGUGAAAUUCUUGGAUUUAUUGAAGACUAACUACUGCGAAAGCAUUUGCCAAGGAUGUUUUCAUUAAUCAAGAACGAAAGUUAGGGGAUCGAAGACGAUCAGAUACCGUCGUAGUCUUAACCAUAAACUAUGCCGACUAGGGAUCGGAUGAUGUUAAUUUUUUAAUGACUCAUUCGGCGCCUUACG
rnacentral:rRNA from 1 species